rnacentral:lncRNA from 1 species
CAAAAUGAGAAGCAUGGACCUGGAGGAGAUUUGGGAAAGGACAUGAAGAAAUAGUACUGGGUCCCAAAUUUGGAUACCUGAGUCUCACCAAAAAAAGCAAUUCAGAGAUCAUUCAGUGACCUGCAAGCACCAGGACAAUGGGCUGGAAGGAAUAAGAGGACAGCAUACAAUUGCUCAGGUCUCUGCAGGUCCUGGGUAAUCACUCCAGUACGAGGGCCCAGGAAUGCUUCAUCAAGACAAGGACUCAAAAACAUGUCCACAAGAGAAAGGCCAAAGAAAAGUCCCCUUUUCCAAUGGGACACAAACCAAUUUUUUAUGCCUCUUAACUUGCUUUGCUACUCAGAGUUCUUCCCUGUAAGGCUUUGGUUUCUCAUGCAGAGAAAUUCGAGAUGAGUCCCUACUGUGGAACCUCCAGACAUGUCCAAACAUAUCUAAAUCCUCUAGCGACACUUUAUGCUGAAGUCUCUGAGCUCCUAAUACAUAAAAAUAAAAUUUGUUUUCCAC